rnacentral:pre_miRNA from 7 species
CUUCGGGGUUCCUGAGUGUCACGCAGAUCUCGGUGGGACCUCCAAAUGAAAGACCUCUGUGGGGAUACCCCCACCUGAGUCAUGAGAAAGCGCGCACCCAAAGAAUCACGAGAGACC